AUUUAAAUUUUAAACUGGUUUAGUCUAAAUUUUCAUUAGUUUAUGAACUUGAUAAAUAUUAACUUGUAGAUUUUGUUUCACGAAGUAUGAAUUUUCCGACCUAAAUAAAAUUACGGAAAGCCAUCGUCACUCGCUCGUACGUUGUUCCACAGUUAAACCACGUGAGCGUGGUCUGUACAUGUCACGUUAACUACUUCUGCGUCUUCCAAUUUUGACUUUAUUGGGUAAAUAGUAGUCUGGUUGAUAAGAAAUUUCUUGUAUAAAUAAAAUUUUAAUAAGAGCAUUUUUGUAAGAAAACAAUAAUAAUAUCUUUGGUAGAAGAUAACAUGUGUUGACAAAAAAAGAAAGAAAGAUAACAUGCAGAACUGAAAUAUUUACAUUUGAUUACUUAUCAUCUGGAACAUAUCCAUAGCCGAUCCGGAGUGUAGGCAAAUUAAGGGCAUGAUUAACCAUGGUCUCCUAGCCGGGGUUCUUAACUCAUGAUUUGAUAUUUUUUUGUUUUUUGUUUUUUUUUAACACUUUUCGGCUAAGAGAUUGCUCUUAUAUCUCUUAUUUAAUAGAUGGUUCUUAGUUUUUCUUAGUUAAAAUCUAAGAAAAGAUAAGAACCGUCUCUUAGACGAAGCUAAGAACCUCAGUUAAAAGACUAGGGUUAAUCAUGGUAAGAACUAUGUCGUUUAAAGUAUCAUGAAUUUAAGUGAUAAUUUUAGUUGUAUAUAUACAUUAUAAAAAAUUUACAUCACAAAAAUUUAAUUGCGCAUAAGACAUAAAAAAAUUUAAAAAUGUUGGACCGGCACUGGAAUAAACAUAUGUUUAACUCUGAAUACACGUCAUGUAUCUAGUUGCUUUAUCUCUAAAACUCUAACGUCGAAAUGUUCUUAACUUCUGAUGAUAAGAACAAGAAAAGUUAUAUAUAUUCUUUUUGGCAAAUAGUUGUCCUUCGGCUCUCUAUUUGUAGAUCGACAGCAGUUGGUGAAUUCUCUAUCCUUGCAACAUGGUAGUGGCGGCUCCUCUCAGAGAAGGUGCGACGUAGCUGACAGGUUCGCUUUAUUUUGGACUUACAAGUCUCCACCUCUCUCCUCUUCGGCCUGUUUUGGAUGAUGGGUGGAGUUUCAGAGGUGGGGUAUGACAUCUAGUGGCGGCGGAGGCGAAUCAGUGGUGGGGUGGUGGUGAUGCGAGAUGGGUUGUUCUCCACAUUUCUUCGCCCCUCUUCAUUUAGUGGUAGUGGACGGACUUUAGAUGCAAACACGUUCCAAGUUCGAUCCUCCUGCUGCGAAAACUAAGUCACAUUGUUCUGCUCACCACGGCUGCGGAUACGUCUGUAUGAAAACCCGGGAGAGAGCUUGUCGUGGGCUGCACCUCCCACCCGGAGGUUAGAUCUGUGUCUUUAAUAAAUCCGGGUUUAACUUUUUUUUUCUUCAAAAAAAAUAUAUUUAGAAAGCAUUUACAGUUUUAAAAUAUUUUUUUAAUAAUUGUUUAAUUAAAUAAUAAAGAACAUAAUAUUUUUGCAAAUUAUUUGCCAAUCAAUGCCAUAUGUAUAGUCUAGGUAGUGACAUUGUAAAAGAGUGGCUAGGCACUUAGGCACAUAGAGCAUCCAACUUCAAUCAACACUACAAAAAUAUUUUCUGACCACAAUACCAAACUUCACUCUAAAUAUAUUAUUAUAUUAUUAAAUUAAAUUUUUUAAAUUUAAUAUUUAAAUAUAGAUAAUUAUAAUGUAAUAUAUUACAUAAAACACAUUAUAAUAAAAUAUUUACUAGAUAUAUAAUAAUAUUUAAAUACAUAUCUAUUAUUUCAAUACAUAUAAUAUUUUACUAUAAAUAUUUAAUUUAUAAUUUGAUAUGUAUUUGUUCUCUUAUUUAUCAUUUAUUUGGUUAUAUAUUUUAUUAAUAAACAUAAGUGAAUAGUGUUUAAUGUACUGAAUAUAAACAUAUAGUAUUACACUAAAAUAUUGUGACUUUUAGAGUUGGAUUGAAAAAAUGUUGUAUGAAAUCAUGUUGGAUUAAAAAAAUGUUGUAUGAAAUCAUAUUAAAUAGAUUUUUAGUGUUAGGUUAGAAAUGUUUAGCAUUCAUCUAUGAAGAAACAUGUCGAAAAGAGAAAAGUGAUGUUAACUACUUUCUCUAAAAUGCUCCAUAAUUUAAUUAAUCAUAUUCCUAAAAUUAGUAACAUCUAGUCUUCACAACAUAGGAUAUUCAUAAGGUUUUAUUAUAUUUGUAAACAUUAAUGAUCACCGAAUUUUUAAGUUGAAGUUCUUUCUAAUUAAAAAUAAUCAAAUUAAAUCAAAUCACUUCUUUUUUUGUGUCAAAUUAAAUCAAAUCACUUUAAAGAGAACCUGGUUCUAUUUCUGUGAUAAUAGACAGGCGUGUACAGUUCAUGGUAUAGAUUCUUUACCAAUGUAUGUAAAUGUAUAUAGUGGUAUUUUGCAGUCUUUUAAGGUGCAACAGUUUUUUUCUUCCACAAAAUAUCUAUUAAUAAAAAAUAUCCUAUAUUUUAUAGUAAAUGAUGUUUUUGCAUCAAUGCACAUAUAUUAAGAAAUCUAUUUUUCUCAAAAUUACAUUAAUAAUUUGAGUAUAUUUUAAAUUAUAAACAUAAAUACCAAAAUGUAAUUGGUUACACCAAUUUAAUAAAGGUAAAAUUACCUAGAUACAUAAAAACGUCAUUUAUUAUGAAAUAACAAAAAUUAUUUAAAAUAUUAUAUAUACGUUGAAACGGAGAAAGUAUCUCGAAAGCUCAACAAAUAUCUCUUAUUUAUUUCGCAUCGAUAACAUUAGGAAAAUAAGAGCAUGAUUAUUGGAGGGUUCUUAGGGUCAGGUUCUUAACGGAAUAUAAGAACCCGUUUCUUAACUUUUAACUAAAAAAACUAAGAACCGGUUCUUAAAACUUUUAUUUAAGAGCCGGUUCUUAACUUUUUUAGUUAAAAAUUAAGAGACAGAUUUUUAUAUUUCGCUAAGAACCUCAUCUUAAGAACUUCCCAAUAAUCAUGCUCUAAGUCCCGUGAAGAUCGCAGACAUUAUUUUAGUAUUUUGGUUAUGCACGGGCCAUGUUUAGUUCACUGUGGUUAAGCAAAAAAAAAAAAAGGUUAAGUUCAGUGUCUGUCAGUCUGUCACUGAUUACAUUUUCAGAGAGAAGAUAAGAUUUGAAACAAAAAUAGAUUUAAUGGGGCUGUGAAAGAAGAAUGAACCAGUUCAUCAGUCUCGAGAGAUAAUCCUCAGAUAAAGAGAGCAUAAAGAAUAAAAACAUCCAUUGGAACAAUUUUGGAGGUGAUGGUUGUGGUCCAAUGGGAUAUACUGAAGGCAAUAACAUUAGUAGAAUUAAGAAAGGUGGUUGAUUCAAAUGAGCAAUCGUGGGAUGCAAAACUAUGAACCAAAGCACAGAGAACAUAAUGAUUUUUUAAUUAAUGGAAGAAAUAUAUAUAUAUCGUAUAAGACCAAAAACUUUGAGUAUCUGGAAGCUACCUAAUUUUCAUGAAAUGCUUGUGUUUUCUUGUAAAUAAAGACCUUUUUGAGCUUUA